rnacentral:rRNA from 1 species
UACGUAGGGGGCUAGCGUUGUCCGGAAUCAUUGGGCGUAAAGAGCGUGUAGGCGGCCCGGUAAGUCCGCUGUAAAAGUCAAAGGCUCAACCUUUGAAUGUCAGUGGAUACUGCCGGGCUAGAGUCCGGAGGAGGCGAGUGGAACUCCUGGUGUAGCGGUGGAAUGCGCAGAUAUCAGGAAGAACACCAACGGCGAAGGCAGCUCGCUGGGACGGUACUGACGCUGAGACGCGAAAGCGUGGGGAGCAAACAGG